rnacentral:RNase_P_RNA from 1 species
UGAGUUGAUCGGAUGGUCGCUAGUUUUUAGCUAGAGGAAAGUCCGGACUUCAUAGAGCAAGGUGCCAGGUAACUCCUGGGAGGCGUGAGCCUACGGCAAGUGCAGCAGAAAAUAUACCGCCAAGCAAUUGGUAAGGGUGAAAUGGUGAGGUAAGAGCUUACCGCGAGAUUGGUAACAAUCUUGGCAAUGUAAACCCCACUUUGAAGCAAAACCAAAUAGGGACCCCAUUAGGCUGCUCGUCUAGGGUUCGGGUAGGUUGCUUGAGCAAUAUGGCGACAUAUUGCCUAGAUAGAUGACCAUUUAAUACAGAAUCCGGCUUAUAGAUCAACUCACUUA